rnacentral:rRNA from 1 species
CUUGACAUCCAGAGAAUUUAGCAGAGAUGCUUUAGUGCCUUCGGGAACUCUGAGACAGGUGCUGCAUGGCUGUCGUCAGCUCGUGUUGUGAAAUGUUGGGUUAAGUCCGCAACGAGCGCAACCCUUAUCCUUUGUUGCCAGCACGUAAUGGUGGGAACUCAAAAGAGACUGCCGGUGAUAAACCGGAGGAAGGUGGGGAUGACGUCAAGUCAUCAUGGCCCUUACGAGUAGGGCUACACACGUGCUACAAUGGCGUAUACAAAGAGAAGCGACCUCGCGAGAGCAAGCGGACCUCAUAAAGUGCGUCGUAGUCCGGAUUGGAGUCUGCAACUCGACUCCAUGAAGUCGGAAUCGCUAGUAAUCGUAAAUCAGAAUGUUACGGUGAAUACGUUCCCGGGCCUUGUACACACCGCCCGUCACACCAUGGGAGUGGGUUGCAAAAGAAGUAGAUAGCUUAACCUUCGGGAGGGCGUUUACCACUUUGUGAUUCAUGACUGGGGUGAAGUCGUAACAAGGUAAGCGUAGUGCU